GACAGAGGCCUCGAGCGUUAGGCGGAAUCACUGGGCUUAAAGCGUGUGUAGGCGGAAGCGUAAGUACCUUGUGAAAUCCCACGGCUCACCCGUGGAACCGCUGGGUAUACUGCGCUUCUUGGGCCACUCAGGGGCGACUGGAACAAGCGGUGGAGCGGUGAAAUGCGUAGAUAUCGCUUGGAACGCCGAAGGUGAAAACAGGUCGCUGGGAGUGCGCCGACGCUGAGACACGAAAGCCAGGGGAGCAAACGGG
rnacentral:rRNA from 1 species